GCCAGUGUAGUUCAGUUGGUAGAACGCGGGUUUUGUAAUCCCGAUGCCGAAAGGGUUCUCGCAGGUUCGAGUCCUGUCACUGGCUCCA
rnacentral:tRNA from 1 species